AGAUGUGAGGGUGAUCUGGCUGUGACAUCUGUUACCCCAUUGAUCGCCAGAGUUGAUUUGGCUGAUCUGGCUGGCUAGGCGGGUAUCCCCUUCCUCCUCACUCAUCCAUGUGCAACCUUCCCAAAGCUGAGUGCUGGAUGAAAGAGGACAACCACCCUUCAUUGAGGAAGACCGUUUCUGUAGUCAAGGUUAUAUGAUUAGCUGUGCUCCCCUGCUAGACUUUAAACAAGCUCUCAAGUCCAGCCUGGGAAAUUUGGUGAGACCCUCUCUCAAAUACAAAAAUUACAGGCAGGGUGUAGAGGCAGACACCUACAAUCCCAGCACUC
rnacentral:snRNA from 1 species